rnacentral:rRNA from 1 species
UACGUAGGGGGCAAGCGUUGUCUGGAUUUAUUGGGCGUAAAGAGCGUGUAGGCGGGUAGGUAGGUGCGUUGUGAAAACUCGAGGCUCAACCUCGAGACGUCGAUGGAAACCAUCUAGCUAGAGUCCGGAAGAGGAGAGUGGAAUUCCUGGUGUAGCGGUGAAAUGCGCAGAUAUCAGGAAGAACACCCGUGGCGAAGGCGGCUCUCUGGUACGUGACUGACGCUGAGACGCGAAAGCGUGGGGAGCGAACAGG